GGCAGUCCCUACCCCGAAAACGCUCUCAAGCCAGGAAAGCCUUCAGGAAAAUCUGGCGUAACUGGGAAAUGUGCUUCAAAGGAGGAUUUCGCGGGGCAGGUCCUAGUCCCUUCUGUGGGAAAAGCAAAGAAUUGUUACCGAUGCCUCGAACUCGUUACGUACAGUUCGGCAUUGAGGAUGAGACUUGGGGCCUCAUUCAUAUCUGCAGUGCACACAAGUGUGGCAAUCUGGAGGCAGAGGCAGAAGGAUCUCUAAGAGUUCAAGGUCAGCCUAGUCUAUCAUGAGACCCUGCCCCAAAAAUAAGUAAAUAAAAAGUCAAAUUUCUAAGUGA